rnacentral:rRNA from 1 species
GUCUUUUUGAUAAAUAAUUUAAAGUCUAAUCUGCCCCCUGAAAAUAAUUUAAAGGGCUGCGGUAUUUUAACCGUACAAAGGUAGCAUAAUAAUUAGGUUUUUGAUUGAAAUCUAGAAUGAAUGAUUGGACGAGAUACAAGCUGUUUUAUAAUAAUUAAUUAAAACUUAAUUUUUUAGUCAAAAAGCUAAAAUUUUAUUAAAAGACGAGAAGACCCUAUAAAUCUUUAUAACAAGUUUAUUUUAGUAGAUUAUUUUAUUAAUAUUUUAAUUUUAAUAAUUAGUUAUUUUAUUGGGGUGAUAUAAAAAUUUAAAUAACUUUUUAAUAUUAAAUUUCUUAAAUUAAAGAUUUAAAUAUUAUGAUCUAUUAUUAAUAAUUCAAAGAAUAAGAUACUUUAGGGAUAACAGCGUAAUUUUAAUUUUAAGUUCUCAUUAAAAUUAAAGAUUGCGACCUCGAUGUUGGAUUAAAAUUUAAUUUAAAUGCAAAGGUUUAAAAAUUAAGUCUGUUCGACUUUUGAAAUUUU